rnacentral:rRNA from 2 species
UGGGGAAUAUUGGGCAAUGGGCGCAAGCCUGACCCAGCGACGCCGCGUGAGGGAAGAAGGUCUUCGGAUUGUAAACCUUUGUUGAUAGGGACGAAUAGAUGACGGUACCUAUCGAGGAAGCCACGGCUAACUACGUGCCAGCAGCCGCGGUAAUACGUAGGUGGCGAGCGUUACCCGGAUUUACUGGGUGUAAAGGGUGUGUAGGCGGAGAAGCAAGUCAGAUGUGAAAAUUAUGGGCUCAACUCAUAACCUGCGUCUGAAACUGUUUCCCUUGAGAGUCGGAGAGGUAAAUGGAAUUCCUGGUGUAGCGGUGAAAUGCGUAGAUAUCAGGAGGAACACCGGUGGCGAAGGCGGUUUACUGGACGACAACUGACGCUGAGACACGAAAGUGUGGGGAGCAAACAGG